rnacentral:rRNA from 1 species
GUGCCAGCCGCCGCGGUAAUACGUAGGGCGCAAGCGUUGUCCGGAAUUAUUGGGUGUAAAGAGCUUGUAGACGGUUUGUCGCGUCUGCCGUGAAAGUCCGGGGCUCAACCCCGGAUCUGCGGUGGGUACGGGCAGACUAGAGUGAUGUAGGGGAGACUGGAAUUCCUGGUGUAGCGGUGAAAUGCGCAGAUAUCAGGAGGAACACCGAUGGCGAAGGCAGGUCUCUGGGCAUUAACUGACGCUGAGAAGCGAAAGCAUGGGGAGCGAACAGGAUUAGAUACCCUGGUAGUCCAUGCCGUAAACGUUGGGCACUAGAUGUGGGGGACAUUCCACGUUUUCCGCGUCGUAGCUAACGCAUUAAGUGCCCCGCCUGGGGAGUACGGCCGCAAGGCUAAAACUCAAAUAAAUUGGCGG